CGGGGGAUAACUAUUGGAAACGAUAGCUAAUACCGCAUAAAAACGGUUGUUGCAUGACAACUGUUUGAAAGGUGCAAUUGCAUCACUACCAGAUGGACCUGCGUUGUAUUAGCUAGUUGGUGGGGUAACGGCUCACCAAGGCGACGAUACAUAGCCGACCUGAGAGGGUGAUCGGCCACACUGGGACUGAGACACGGCCCAGACUCCUACGGGAGGCAGCAGUAGGGAAUCUUCGGCAAUGGACGGAAGUCUGACCGAGCAACGCCGCGUGAGUGAAGAAGGUUUUCGGAUCGUAAAGCUCUGUUGUAAGAGAAGAACGAGUGUGAGAGUGGAAAGUUCACACUGUGACGGUAUCUUACCAGAAAGGGACGGCUAACUACGUGCCAGCAGCCGCGGUAAUACGUAGGUCCCGAGCGUUGUCCGGAUUUAUUGGGCGUAAAGCGAGCGCAGGCGGUUAGAUAAGUCUGAAGUUAAAGGCUGUGGCUUAACCAUAGUACGCUUUGGAAACUGUUUAACUUGAGUGCAAGAGGGGAGAGUGGAAUUCCAUGUGUAGCGGUGAAAUGCGUAGAUAUAUGGAGGAACANCCGGUGGCGAAAGCGGCUCUCU
rnacentral:rRNA from 1 species